GACAGAGGGGGCAAGCGUUGCUCGGAAUCACUGGGCGUAAAGGGCGCGUAGGCGGGAUGGCAAGUCGGUCGUGAAAUCCUUCGGCUCAACCGAAGAACGUCGGCCGAUACUGCUGUUCUUGAGGGAUGCAGAGGAGAUUGGAAUUCCCGGUGUAGCAGUGAAAUGCGUAGAGAUCGGGAGGAACAUCAGUUGCGAAGGCGGCUCUCUGGACCAGCACUGACACUGAGGCACGAAAGCGUGGGGAGCAAACAGG
rnacentral:rRNA from 1 species